AGCAGCCGCGGUAAUUCCAGCUCCAAUAGCGUAUAUUAAAGUUGUUGCAGUUAAAAAGCUCGUAGUUGAAUUUCGGGGUUAGUAGGUUGGUCGUGCCACUGGUAUGCACUGGUUCUACUGAUCCCUCCUUCUUGUAGAACCGUAAUGCCAUUCACUUGGUGUUGCGGGGAAACAGGACUGUUACUUUGAAAAAAUUAGAGUGUUUAAAGCAGGCUAACGCUUGAAUACAUUAGCAUGGAAUAAUGAAAUAGGACGUUCGAUCCUAUUUUGUUGGUUUCUAGGAUUGACGUAAUGAUUAAUAGGGAUAGUUGGGGGCAUUAGUAUUCAAUUGUCAGAGGUGAAAUUCUUGGAUUUAUUGAAGACUAACUACUGCGAAAGCAUUUGCCAAGGAUGUUUUCAUUAAUCAAGAACGAAAGUUAGGGGAUCGAAGACGAUCAGAUACCGUCGUAGUCUUAACCAUAAACUAUGCCGACUAGGGAUCGGAUGAUGUUAAUUUUUUAAUGACUCA
rnacentral:rRNA from 1 species